AUUGAACGCUGGCGGCAUGCCUUACACAUGCAAGUCGAACGGUAACGCGGGGCAACCUGGCGACGAGUGGCGAACGGGUGAGUAAUGUAUCGGAACGUGCCCAGUUGUGGGGGAUAACUGCUCGAAAGAGCAGCUAAUACCGCAUACGACCUGAGGGUGAAAGCGGGGGAUCGCAAGACCUCGCGCAAUUGGAGCGGCCGAUAUCAGAUUAGGUAGUUGGUGGGGUAAAGGCCUACCAAGCCUACGAUCUGUAGCUGGUCUGAGAGGACGACCAGCCACACUGGGACUGAGACACGGCCCAGACUCCUACGGGAGGCAGCAGUGGGGAAUUUUGGACAAUGGGGGCAACCCUGAUCCAGCCAUGCCGCGUGCGGGAAGAAGGCCUUCGAGUUGUAAACCGCUUUUGUCAGGGAAGAAAUCCUUUGAACUAAUACUUCGGAGGGAUGACGGUACCUGAAGAAUAAGCACCGGCUAACUACGUGCCAGCAGCCGCGGUAACAC
rnacentral:rRNA from 1 species